AAGUCGUAACAAGGUUUCCGUAGGUGAACCUGCGGAAGGAUCAUUAACACGUGAUACUCACGUAUUAACCAAACGCGAAAUGUUGUUUUAAGCCUAUUAUUGGAUAUGAGCUGACUGUUUGGGAAUGGUGUGAUUACGGUGCUUCGCGCAUAGGGUCUAACUUACAGUCUUAGCGUGCUUGACACGCGGUUUGUUCCAAUAAUAGUAGAUAAAUUUCGACUGCUUAUUAAGCCUGCACCUUGGCUUGCAGUCGAAGUGCUGAUUACUUACCCCUUAUUUUUAUUUAUUCUGAUUUGUACGUUUAUAUGAAUUCCUAUUGCGUAAGCAUUAGUUGAGUUUAUAUAGAUGUCGUAUAUUACUAAUACGAAACAACUCUUAGCAACGGAUAUCUUGGUUCUCGUAACGAUGAAGAACGCGGC
rnacentral:misc_RNA from 1 species